rnacentral:misc_RNA from 1 species
GAUGAAGAACGUAGCGAAAUGCGAUAAGUAGUGUGAAUUGCAGAAUUCGGUGAAUCAUCGAAUCUUUGAACGCACAUUGCGCCCCAUGGUAUUCCGUGGGGCAUGCCUGUUCGAGCGUCAUUUACCCCCUCAAGCUCCGCUUGGUGUUGGGCGUCUGUCCCGCUUCGCGCGCGGACUCGCCCCAAAGGUAUUGGCAGCGGUCGUGCCAGCUUCUCGCGCAGCACAUUGCGCUUCUCGAGGCACCGGUGGGCCCGCGUCCAUCAAGCUCACCCCCCCAGUUUGACCUCGGAUCAGGUAGGGAUACCCGCUGAACUUAAGCACAUCAAUAAGCGGAGGA